UAUUCUUAGGCUGUGUCUACAUUCUGGAGGCCAUACUGGCAUAGCUAUAUCAGUGUACCUAUGUUGGCAUAACUCAAUAGGCUGACACAGCUCUACAGGGAUGGAAAGGGUUUUUCCAUCGAUGUAGGAACACCACCUUCCACAAACAAAGUUAGCUAUAUCGAACAGUUGACAUAGCUGUAUCUACACUGGAGGUUAGGGCAGCACAAUUAUGUUGGUUCAAGUUGUGGUGUACUCACACCCUGGACCGACAUAGCUUUUUCAACCAAAUUUUUAAGUAUAGACCAAGCCUUAGUUUCCCUCCAAUUUACAACAGUUCAACUCAAGCAACCAGAGCAUGUGAUUGCUCUUGAUAGAGGCAGAAAGAUGCAGGCAAAAGGACAGACUGUUUUGUGCACAACAUGGUAGGAGUAAUGGAAAGCUUAGGGCAGAAUGGGUACAGAAAGUUAGCAAGACAAGUACCAUAGGACCAGGUUCUGUUCUCAGUUCCCAUUACAUUCAUACCACUCCAGUGAAGCCCGUGGAGCUGCACUAGUGUAACAGAGCAGAAUUUGGCCCAUAGCGUUCAGGGCCAAACCCUUGUUUUAUUUUAAGGCCCAUUGUAAUGAAGCGAGGGGUGAGGCAUGGGGAGACGUAGGGUAAGUAAUGGAUGGCAGCCCUGGGAGAUCAAUUCAGGGAGACUGUCUUUACCUUUGGAUAUAUUGAUGUGUAGAGAAUGCCAACAUCUUCCUGGGGCUUCAGCAAAACGCCUUUCCUUUUAGGAAUCAUUUACAAAAGCCCUUUUGAAAGGGCUUUAGAAUGUGUCCUCCUUAUGCCUUGAGAAGAAACACAAAGUAGCUGGGCCCACUGUUAAGAAAGAAAAACAAGCUUCAUGGGCGGGGGCCGCAUAAGCAUCAUUAAGGAGAACUCCAGAGAAAUACCCAGCAGGGCUGGCCCUGGGGUUCUGCUGCACCAUAUAAGAAACCAGGGCCUGCACUGGUUUCCAUGAAAGGCGAGAGUCUCUCCCGCUGAAGUCAACUGCCCGCAAGAGGUUUCUGCGAUGCCCCAGGGACUUGUGCUUGGUGGAAGAGCAUUUCUCCACUGGUCCUGCUAAAGGGAUUCUUUGUGGAGCAUAUUUGUAUGUCCCACAGAAGGAAUGUGCACUGUGUACUCGUUUAUCAGUGCGGAUGUGUUCCUUAGCAUCUCAUGAAAUGUGUCCACCGUCUUUCUGUAAGCGUCCCUGUGCAGAACAAACGGACGGAAAAGGUUGAGUGGCUCUGCCUUCUGGAACACCACUGGGAAGUUUAGCACCUCUGGCACCUUCCGGUUUCCAAUAAAGAAGUGGCAGAGCUUCUUUUCCUGCAGGCUUUUCUCCAGGAACUUCAGCAUGUCUUGCAGCCUGACCUCCAGGUUCUCAGAGGCCCAGUCCUGAUAGGGCCGGGUCUGCAGUAAAUGCAGCAUCACCGUCUUCAGGUGGUAGCUGGUGAGGCUGCUGGGACCUGUUAAGCUACACUGCUUUCCAU